rnacentral:lncRNA from 1 species
CUGUCUCCCAUCUCAGAAAACCUUUCCCAGAGAACUCUGAAUAGAAACAGACAUGUUUUCAUGAAAAAUGUCUCUUCUGAGGACCUAACAUCCUCCAAAGAAGAUGGUUCACCACUGAGAAAGUUCCAUGUUUUAUCUCAUAUACCAGCUGACUGCACAUAAGCACAAUUGUAGCCUGUACCAAUAUUUCCUGUCGAGUACAAAGACCACUAAUCAGUCUUUAUUGUGUAAGCCUGAACAAUGCAGGCCAUGCUAACAACUACACCCUUGAAGAGGAGCUAAAAUAUUGAUAAGAGGAGAACAUCCUGCCCCAGAAGGUGCCAAAGGCUGGAUGACUGCCUGAGAAGCACAAAGUCAGCAAAAAUCGGUGGUAUCUAGGGGAAAGGUAGAGGCAGCAGGGGGAGAUCAUGACCACCAACUCAAUUCAAGACCAAGAAGACCUGCCCCCACAAUUGUUAGGAGCACGUGUGCUAAUUUACAUAGCAAGUGAGGCUAAUUUAAAUAUAGCUAACCAAUGAGGGACAAAGUGAUAAGAAACUAACAAUGGUCAUUGCAGUAAAUGUGUUUUUUGUGCAGUUUGAAGUGGAUAAAAAUACCUUGAAGUUCUUUUGUGUGUUGUGCUAUCUUUGUGGAGUUACCCCCUAGCACACAUCUUGGCACAAAUACGGAAUAAACCGAUAUCUCGGCUCUGUGUGUAAGCUUGGCUUUUUGCACACCGGGUAACAAACCCUGUCUGAGGGACAACACAAUGGACUGGAUAUGAGGAAGCAUUUCUGUGCAGAAGGGGCUGUUGGGCGUUGGAAUGGGCUGCCCAGGGCAGGGGGGGAGUCCCCGGGAUCCCUGGAGGGGUUGAAGAGUCGGGCUGAGCCAGCGCUGAGGGGUCUGGGGGAGUUGGGAACUGUCAAUGUUAGGUCAGUGGUUGGACUGGAGGAGCUUCAAGGUCUUUUCCAACCGAGAUGAUUCUGUGAUUAUGCGACUGUGCCCAUGCAUCUUCCUUUCCUUGUGUUUGGAGGAGACGAGCAGGAGGAAGUGCAUGGACACAAUGCCACCCUCAUGUGCAUGGAGAGCUCCUCUUUACAAGUGGUUUCCUGGCUGUUCUGAGCAAUUGCUUUCUGGCCUUUUGUGCCUCUCAGAUGAUAAGACAAAGCUGAAAAAGCGACCUGGAGCUCAUGCAGUAGCACUAUUCUCCAGAUGGCUUUCCACAGCAUCGUCUUCCGUAACACACCAGCGAGCCACGAGACUGAGACAGAAAUUCCAAUGUGGGGAGGGUGUGAGUCAUGAGAUGAUACUAACCAUUAGGAAGACACUGCUGCAGAGACUGAAACCAAACCCAUUUAUUCCUUGUUCUCAAGUCGUCUUGGGUUGGAAGCUGCCAAAAAAUUCUCUCCUGGAUAAAUAACUGUGAUGUCCCCAUCAAGCAUAUGUUGUCAGUGAGUUGGAUUUCUUCAUUCAAAUUGUUGAAAAUCUGUUCUGCUUGGAAGUUUCUCUCGCAGAGGAAUUAUUCAGCACCACAAAAGGAGUGUGCAGGGAUCCCAUCAAAGUUUAAAUGCUUUGAACUCACUCCUAGGCACAAGAAGACUUUACUACUUGAGAUUUUGUUUGGACAUAAAUGAGUUUUUGUCAUAGAUUGGGCAUCUUCUAACAUGGUCCCUCCAUAACAAAAUUUCUCAUCAUUCUGGAAGAAGAUUUGAGUAUUUGUUCUUUUGUUUGCAUUCAUCUUUAUUUAUUUUGUAUUCUUGAGAUGUGUUGCAUCUCUGGAGUUUGUAUUUCUACUUUUAGCGUAAAAAUGUUGUACAUAACAAGUCUAGAAUGCAUCUGAAGAGUAGUCUAAUUUUUCAAGUGACUUUGACUUGAACAUUUUUAUGUUUAUGUUUAUAUUGCUAUUUCAAAAAUGUGCAUUACCUGUAUUAUUUAUGCCUUUUCCCCAUCUAUAACUCAAUAAAAUUAUGUCCUCAUUCUGCA